UACGGGGGGGGUAAGCGUUGUUCGGAAUUACUGGGCGUAAAGGGCUCGUAGGCGGCCAACUAAGUCGGACGUGAAAUCCCCAGGCUCGACCUGGGAACUGCGUCCGAUACUGGAUGGCUUGAAUCCGGGAGAGGGAUGCAGAAUUCCAGGUGUAGCGGUGAAAUGCGUAGAUAUCUGGAGGAAUACCGGUGGCGAAGGCGGCAUCCUGGACCGGCAUUGACGCUGAGGAGCGAAAGCCAGGGGAGCAAACGGG
rnacentral:rRNA from 1 species